AGCUCAAUGGUAGAGCCCUAGUCUUCCAAACUAGCUACGCGGGUUCGAUUCCCGUC
rnacentral:tRNA from 1 species